rnacentral:rRNA from 1 species
UACGAAGGGGGCUAGCGUUGCUCGGAAUUACUGGGCGUAAAGGGCGCGUAGGCGGAUAUCUAAGUUGGGGGUGAAAGCCCGGGGCUCAACCUCGGAACUGCCUUCAAUACUGGAUAUCUUGAGUUCGGGAGAGGUGAGUGGAAUGCCGAGUGUAGAGGUGAAAUUCGUAGAUAUUCGGCGGAACACCAGUGGCGAAGGCAGCUCUCUGGGUCCCUACCGACGCUGGAGUGCGAAAGCAUGGGGAGCGAACGGG